UUGUACACUGUAACGGAUUUUUGUAAUUUGAACAGUAUUUUACUGUAAUAUGUACAGUAUAAUACUGUUAAAUGUGCCAACAGUAUAAUACUGUAAAUAGCAAAGGAUUAUGGGAAAAUAUAUGUUUAGUACUGUAAUUAUUCUCUACUGUAAAUCGAUUUACAGUAGCGACAAUGCCCGCGAAAAAACUGGCCAAUGACAACGGAGAAUUCUUUUCAAGUUUUUUUUCGGUUGGUUGGGGCAACUGAGGAAAGACUCAACAAAAAGGUUAGUAUUGUUUCUGUAAUUAUUUUAUGUAAAACCGAGAUAUUUUCAAAUGCAGUCACUUAUUAACAGCAACCUAACACGAACCAGUGCUGCAAAUUGAGUGAGUUGUUAAUGUGAGGACAAUAUUCCUGUCGUCAAGAGACUUUUUUUCUGCCUGUUUGUCAAGGCGGGAGGUAAUGUUACAAUUGUUACUGCCGUCAUCAUUAUGGCAACUUCAACGGGGUGAAUAAAGUUUACAUUGACUGAUAUUUAGUGACACAGCAACAAAAUAAGCUUUUUUUAAUGCUCCUCUGCCUCUUUAAUGUAAAUUAGCUAAGCAGGAGGACUCUGUGGAAACUUUACGUUAACAGCAAACUAUAUUGAAUGACGAAAAGAAAAGUGAGGCAACACUAAAGACGGAGGUUGUAUUAUAACAGUAUUUUGAAGUGAAUAUUUUGUUUUCAUUUAAAGUUUUUUGCUGUUCGAACCGCGAAACGUCGGAGGUGUCUUGGAGUUAUUUUCUGGCGGUUACCGUUAUCUGAAGAAACUGGUCACUGCAACUCCAGCAGAUAUGCAGAGAGAAGCCUCUCUUUGCCCAGUACCCCAAGACUGAUUGCACUUGGUUCAUUCUGAGAAUAAACCCUGAUGGCACCAAAUGCCUAUCAAAAUCACAGAUCAGCCGGGCAUCUGGAAAAAGGAUGCAUAGAAAAAUCGCCAGCCUGAAUCCCCUUGUGGCAUCUUUCAUCAGAGAGUUUGUUGAAUUCGAUUGGCAAAAUUAUUGAAAGAAAACACGACUAAAACAUGUUUUUACUGUUUGAUUUUUGUAAUGGCUUAUUCUGCUUUGCAGCCAAUUUAAAUUUUUAGCCAUGUUACAAAUACACAGAAUGAAUUCAAACACAUUUGUAGAAUGUACUUUUUAAAGUAAAUGUUAAAUAAUGAAAUAGUUAAACAAUGAAACAGCACAUUUUAAUGGCAAAUGUUCAUGAGAACUUAUGAACUUGUUAAAUGUUAAACUUGUAACAUUUGUUAAAUGUUAAAUGUUAAUUUGUUGAACUUGUUAAAUGUUAAACAAUGAAACAGCAUAUUUUAAUGACAAAUGUUCAUGAGAACUUAUUUUUGGGGAGUAAAAAAUUUAUAGUUUACAGCUAGUGGUUUUUCAUUCGUUAAACAUCAGUUACACCUGUUGUUAAUUUCAUUAAUUGGUUUGUCUUUUUGUGUUUGGUUUUGUUGCUUUGUUUUCGGAGUAUUUUGAGUUCUAUGUUAAAUAAAACUUUGACUGCUGCGAUUA